rnacentral:rRNA from 1 species
UUUCGAAUCAUUCACAAUGGGCGAAAGCCUGAUGGUGCGACGCCGCGUGAGGGAUGAAGGUCUUCGGAUUGUAAACCUCUGUCACCGGGGAAGAAACGCUUCAAGUUAACAGCUUGAAGCCUGACUUAACCCGGAGAGGAAGCAGUGGCUAACUCUGUGCCAGCAGCCGCGGUAAUACAGAGACUGCAAGCGUUAUUCGGAUUCACUGGGCGUAAAGGGUGCGCAGGCGGUUGGGUGUGUCAGAUGUGAAAUCCCGAGGCUUAACCUCGGAACUGCGUCUGAAACUACUCGACUAGAGUACUGGAGAGGGUAACGGAAUUCACGGUGUAGCAGUGAAAUGCGUAGAUAUCGUGAGGAACACCAGAGGCGAAGGCGGUUACCUGGACAGUUACUGACGCUCAGGCACGAAAGCAUGGGGAGCAAAAG